rnacentral:rRNA from 1 species
UCUGCCCUUGGGUUCGGAAUAACAGUGGGAAACUACUGCUAAUACCGGAUGAUGUCUUCGGACCAAAGAUUUAUCGCCCAGGGAUGAGCCCGCGUAAGAUUAGGUAGUUGGUGCGGUAAAGGCGCACCAAGCCGACGAUCUUUAGCUGGUCUGAGAGGAUGAUCAGCCACACUGGGACUGAGACACGGCCCAGACUCCUACGGGAGGCAGCAGUGGGGAAUAUUGGACAAUGGGCGCAAGCCUGAUCCAGCAAUGCCGCGUGAGUGAUGAAGGCCUUAGGGUUGUAAAGCUCUUUUACCCGGGAUGAUAAUGACAGUACCGGGAGAAUAAGCUCCCGGCUAACUUCCGUGCCAGCAGCCGC